rnacentral:rRNA from 1 species
UACGUAGGGUGCGAGCGUUGUCCGGAAUUAUUGGGCGUAAAGAGCUUGUAGGCGGUUUGUCGCGUCUGCUGUGAAAAUCCGGGGCUCAACCCCGGACUUGCAGUGGGUACGGGCAGACUAGAGUAUGGUAGGGGAGACUGGAAUUCCUGGUGUAGCGGUGAAAUGCGCAGAUAUCAGGAGGAACACCGAUGGCGAAGGCAGGUCUCUGGGCCACUACUGACGCUGAGAAGCGAAAGCAUGGGGAGCGAACAGG